rnacentral:misc_RNA from 1 species
AACUUUCAGCAACGGAUCUCUUGGCUCUCGCAUCGAUGAAGAACGCAGCGAAAUGCGAUAAGUAAUGUGAAUUGCAGAAUUCCGUGAGUCAUCGAAUCUUUGAACGCACAUUGCGCCCUUUGGUAUUCCGAAGGGCAUGCCUGUUCGAGCGUCAUUAUCACCCCUCAAGCUCAGCUUGUUGUUGGGCCACGUUGUCAUAAAUGGGCCCCAAAGACAAUGACGGCGUCUGUAGGACCCUCGGUACAAUGAGCUUUCAACGAGGCACGUACUGGAGUGGGCCUGGGGACCCGGUCUCUUAGUUUUGGACUAAAAUUUUUCUAAGGUUGACCUCGGAUCAGGUAGGGAUACCCGCUGAACUUAAGCAUAUCAAUAAGCGGAGGCU